rnacentral:lncRNA from 1 species
CUGGCUUUCCGUUUGCCUCCCGCCAUGAUUGAAUGUGCCUUAACGUCACUUGGCCGUAAGCUAAUGUACAAUGCAUCUAUAAUAAAUCUGCUUUGUUCAGUCUUUCAUCAUCCUUGACAAUAAAAUUUUUACUACCUGAUACCAAUGAAAUCUUAGUAAAAAAAUGCAAACCCAGGCACUGAAAUUCCACGCUUAAAGCUGAUAGUUCCUAAAACCAUAAAAACCCUAGAAGAAAACCUAGACAAUGCCAUUCAGGACAUAGGCAUGGGCAAGGACUUCAUGACUAAAACACCAAAAGCAAUGGCAACAGAAGCUGAAAUUGACAAAUGGGAUCUAAUUAAACUAAAGAGCUUCUGCUCAGCAAAAGAAACUACCAUCAGAGUCAACAGGCAACCUACAGAAUGGGAGAAAAUUUUUGCAACCUACUCAUCUGACAAAGGGCGAAUAUCCAGAAUCUACAAAGAACUCAAACAAAUUUACAAGAAAAAAUCAAACAACCCCAUCAAAAAGUGGGCAA